AUGGCGAUCGAGAAGAAGGGGAUGUCGGCGUACGAGGCGGAGCGGGAGAGGACGGUGGAGGAGAACAAGCGCAAGAUGGAGGCGCUCAACCUGCGCCACCUCUCCGCCGCCGUCGCCACCUACGCCCCCAAGACCCCCUCCCCCAUGAAGCACAAGAGGCGCAGGAUCAUCGAGGCGGCGACCCCCGUCCCGUCGCCGCCCAGGAGGUCCCGCCGGCUCGCCCACCUCCCCGAGGUCAAGUACGCCGACGCCUGCGCGGAGGUGGGAGAAGAUAGUGAGAGAGCGGGAAGGUGGUCUCCUAGAAGACGAAGUGGCAGCAUCUACUUAGCAGGAGGUGGAGGUGGACCAAUUUCCAUGAAAGCUAGGAUGGAGGCAGCAAGCAAAGCAGAGGAGUUAGAAUCACAACUUGACCCUGAAUUUCCAUCCUUCAUGAAGCGGAUGCUACAUUCACAUGUGGUGCGAGGGUUCUGGUUGGGUCUCCCAAGCCAUUUCUGUGACACGUACCUGCCAAAGAAUGACUGCACUAUCACUUUGGUGGAUGAGAAAGAUGAAGAGUUCGAGUCCAAAUACCUUGCCUACAAGAAGGGGCUAAGUGGUGGCUGGGCUGGUUUUGCUCUGGAUCAUGUGAUUCGGGAUGGAGACUCGACGGUCUUUCAGCUGAUCAAGCCUACAACCUUCAAGGUGCAUAUCAUCCGAGCUGCUGUUGGUGAUGAUGACAACGAGGAAAUGGAGUGA
rnacentral:rRNA from 1 species